rnacentral:rRNA from 1 species
UGAGGAAUAUUGGUCAAUGGGCGAGAGCCUGAACCAGCCAAGUAGCGUGCAGGAUGACGGUCCUAUUGGUAGUAAACUGCUUUUAUAUGGGAAUAAAGUGAGGGACGUGUCCCUUAUUGCAUGUACCAUACGAAUAAGGACCGGCUAAUUCCGUGCCAGCAGCCGCGGUAAUACGGAAGGUCCAGGCGUUAUCCGGAUUUAUUGGGUUUAAAGGGAGCGUAGGCUGUUUGUUAAGCGUGUUGUGAAAUGUAAGAGCUCAACUUUUAGAUUGCAGCGCGAACUGGCAGACUUGAGUGCGCACAACGUAGGCGGAAUUCAUGGUGUAGCGGUGAAAUGCUUAGAUAUCAUGACGAUCUCCGAUUGCGAAGGCAGCUUACGGGAGCGCAACUGACGCUAAAGCUCGAAGGUGCGGGUAUCGAACAGG